GAGAUUUGGGCUUCAAUGCUAGAGGCUGAGAUGGAAAGGAAAAUCUAUUGUCACUACAAGGAUAUUGCAACAACAACAAGUUGAUAAGAGACAUAAUGCAACAGUUGAAUAUGAGACAUCUCAAUUUAAUCAAGCAACAACAAUAUCCCAAUCUAGCCAUGUUAGAGGCCCAAAUACCUUACACAGCUCUUCAAGUUUAAGAUGUCCUUAUGGUUAUCUAUAAUGUGAUUUGAU
rnacentral:lncRNA from 1 species